GACAGAGGUCCCGAGCGUUAGGCGGAAUCACUGGGCUUAAAGCGUGUGUAGGCGGAUUUGUAAGUACCUUGUGAAAUCCCACAGCUUAACUGUGGAACUGCUUGGUAUACUGCUUAUCUUGGGCCACUUAGGGGUUACCGGAACAAACGGUGGAGCGGUGAAAUGCGUAGAUAUCGUUUGGAACGCCAAUGGUGAAAACAGGUAACUGGGAGUGUGCCGACGCUGAGACACGAAAGCCAGGGGAGCAAACGGG
rnacentral:rRNA from 1 species